rnacentral:rRNA from 1 species
GAUGAACGCUGGCGGCGUGCCUAAUACAUGCAAGUCGAGCGAACGGACGAGAAGCUUGCUUCUCUGAUGUUAGCGGCGGACGGGUGAGUAACACGUGGAUAACCUACCUAUAAGACUGGGAUAACUUCGGGAAACCGUAGCUAAUACCGGAUAAUAUUUUGAACCGCAUGGUUCAAAAGUGAAAGACGGUCUUGCUGUCACUUAUAGAUGGAUCCGCGCUGCAUUAUCUAGUUGGUAAGGUAACGGCUUACCAAGGCAACGAUGCAUAGCCGACCUGAGAGGGUGAUCGGCCACACGGGAACUGAGACACGGUCCAGACGCCUACGGGAGGCAGCAGUAGGGAAUCUUCCGCAAAGGGCGAAAGCCUGACGGAGCAACGCCGCGUGAGUGAUGAAGGUCUUCGGAUCGUAAAACUCUGUUAUUAGGGAAGAACAUAUGUGUAAGUAACUGUGCACAUCUUGACGGUACCUAAUCAGAAAGCCACGGCUAACUACGUG